rnacentral:rRNA from 1 species
CAGCAGUGGGGGAAUAUUGCACAAUGGGCGCAAGCCUGAUGCAGCCAUGCCGCGUGUGUGAAGAAGGCCUUCGGGUUGUAAAGCACUUUCAGUCGUGAGGAAGGUAGUGUAGUUAAUAGCUGCAUUAUUUGACGUUAGCGACAGAAGAAGCACCGGCUAACUCCGUGCCAGCAGCCGCGGUAAUACGGAGGGUGCGAGCGUUAAUCGGAAUUACUGGGCGUAAAGCGCAUGCAGGUGGUUUGUUAAGUCAGAUGUGAAAGCCCGGGGCGUCAACCUCGGAAAUUGCAUUUGUAAACUAGGCAGACUAGAGUACUGUAGAGGGGGGUAGGAAUUUCAGGUGUAGCGGUGAAAUGCGUAGAGAUCUGAAGGAAUACCGGUGGCGAAGGCGGCCCCCUGGACAGAUACUGACACUCAGAUGCGAAAGCGUGGGGAGCAAACAGGAUUAGAUACCCUGGUAG